ACAUGCAGAGAACUUUCCAGAGAUGGAUUGGUGCCUUCGGGAACGUCUGACACAGGUGCUGCAUGGCUGUCGUCAGCUCGUGUCGUGAGAUGUUGGGUUAAGUCCCGUAACGAGCGCAACCCUUGUCCUUAGUUACCAGCACGUUAUGGUGGGCACUCUAAGGAGACUGCCGGUGACAAACCGGAGGAAGGUGGGGGAUGACGUCAAGUCAUCAUGGCCCUUACGGCCUGGGCUACACACGUGCUACAAUGGUCGGUACAAAGGGUUGCCAAGCCGCGAGGUGGAGCUAAUCCCAUAAAACCGAUCGUAGUCCGGAUCGCAGUCUGCAACUCGACUGCGUGAAGUCGGAAUCGCUAGUAAUCGUGAAUCAGAAUGUCACGGUGAAUACGUUCCCGGGCCUU
rnacentral:rRNA from 1 species